GUUCUUGAUAUUGGAAUAAUGAGAUGAUUCCAUGGCCAGAUGGCAUGUUUCGUACAAAAUAAACUUAAAACUUCAUUAACAUGUUUCAAUUUACAACUGUAUUUUCUAGAUGUAAUAAAUCGAAAAGAGAAGGCUAAACGAGAUUAAUGGUAUAGCAAUAUUACAUACCAAUAUAAACUAAUCUUAUCGUGUACGAUUGAAAGACGUUUCCAGCGGCUAUUUAUCUGAUGUCUAGUUAUGAAACAGUCACUGUUGUGUUUUGUUCUUUAUAUUAAUAGUGAAAAUUUAUCUUCUGGAUCCAUUUCUCCAAGUUUAUCUGUAUAUUUAAAGCAAAAGUUACUUCAUAGGCGGUCAAUGAAUAAUCUACUUCUAACUUCGCCAACAAAUUCCAUGCGACAUUCGAGUCCAGAAUCUGUAAAGAGUGCACCAGUUCAAUUUAAAUCACGAUCUACAUCUCAUGAUACGUUAUUUAAGAAUAAAGAGUGCCAUGAAUUUCAAACAAAUAGAGCAUCUAUGGAUAGUUUAGCCAAACAAGCAUUGUUAGCUGUUCAAGUUCUUAAUUUAAUCCCUACACAGAAAGCACGAGAAAGAAAUUUUCUACAUGGAAGAAUCGCUGCAAAUUCAUUGCUUGGGCCAGUAGAACUUGAGAAAGUAUUACCAAAUCGUGAAUUAAAAAUUUUUAUUGGAACAUGGAACAUGAAUGGACAGAGUCCACCAAAAGAAUUGAAUGACUUUAUGUUACCUUCAGAUAUUGAAACUGUGCCCGACUUGUUAGCAAUUGGAACACAAGAAUCAUGUUCUGAACGAAAUGAAUGGGAAGCAGCUUUACAAGAGACUCUGGGCCCUUCUCAUGUAUUACUUUCUAGUACUAGUUUAGGAACAUUACACCUUGCGCUCUUUUUAAGGAGAGAUUUAAUUUGGUUUUGUUCUAUUGCUGAAGACGCCAGUUUUUCAACCAGGACAGGUACUGCUUUUAGGACAAAGGGUGCAGUAGCUAUAGCUUUAAUGUUAUUUGGUACAAGUUUCCUCUUUGUUACUGCACAUUUAACUGCACAUCAAGAUAAAGUUAAGGAACGAAUACAUGAUAUUAAAAGGAUAGUUAGAAAUCUUGAUCUUCCUAAAGAUUUGCCUACAAAACAUAAAAGUAAAGAUGUAACUCAAAAUUUUGAUUGUGUAUUUUGGUGUGGUGAUUUAAAUUUUCGUUUGACUCAGCCACGAGAAGAGGUUAUUCAGUGGGUGGCGGAUACGUGCUUUCCUCAACAAUCACCUAUAAAUUUACAUAAAGACCAAUUACGAACAAUUCUUAAUGAAGGAGCUGUUUUACGUGGUUUUGAAGAAGCGCCAAUUACAUUUCCUCCUACUUAUAAAUAUGAUCCUGGAACACAAAUUUUUGAUUCGAGUAGCAAACAGCGCACACCUGCAUACACUGACAGAAUUCUCUUUAAAGGAAAAGGACACACAAAAGCAUACAUUCGAAGAGUUAGUCAUGAAAGUUCUUCUUCGUAUAAAGAUGGAAUUAUAGAAUGUUUAGUCUAUGACUCUGUUCCAAGUAUUUGUACAUCAGAUCACAAACCUGUAUGGGGUGUUUUCAAAACUACUGUUAGACCUGAAUUCCUCUCAGCGGGGGUUUAUUUAAUCGCGAAGUGUAUUUAGAAGGUAUAAAGCGACGAGCAGCCGCUAUGGAUGAGACUCAUGGCACUUCUAAAGUAUGUUCAAUCCAGUAGAACUAGGUGAUUCUACGUGAAAAAGUAAACACAGAAUUGUCCAAAGUUUCAUUUUCGAGAAAUUUUUUUUUUAAAACUUAUGGAAUACAUAUACGAUUAAAUUUAAGUAGGCUGUCCUAGCUGACGGAUUUACGCACAGAUAGCAAAAGCGAUCUCCUCGAGCUACAAAAAACAGGAGCCUGCACACGACAAUAUAAAUUUAUGUUAUGUAAUAAAUUUAAUGAUAUGCCUAUUGCCUAAGGUAUAACUUUUAUUUCUAUAUUUGUGACUAUAACUAAGCUUAGGCAGUAUAUCCUCUGAUUUAUUGUGCAGUUUAGAUUUGUGAAGAUUAAAUCCAACAGUAGUUGUUACGCCAUUUCAUUAUUGAUUCUUUUUAGAGUUUGUAAACAUUGUCAGUGAUAUAGUUGGAAUAAUAUAACCAGUUGUUGUGGAUUAUUGUUCUUUUUUUAUUGUAUUGCAGUUACUGUUAAAAACAUCGCAACUGUUGUUACAUACAUAACUCCACUCGAUGAGUUAAAAAAAAAAUACUAAAUUUUAAUGUAUAUUCGCUUUAAAAUUUUUCAAGUUCUUGCACAAUUUUUUGUUCAAGUUGCACAAUAUUUUCAUCAGCCACGUUGUAUACAUACUGCCUAAUAUGUCCAUAUACGUUAUUAUCAGGGCAAUGUUAGGAGCCAUUAAUUAUGAGUGGUCUGUAGGACAAUUUAUGAUGAAAUCUGGUUAAGCAUCUGGAUUUUAGUCUGGUUAAACGUCUGUCGUUAUCCUCAUUGGUUUAACACAAUGAGCUCCGAAAUUUCGAACAUUUAAUACGUUUGCUUUUACAACUAUAGGCAUGAGAUCGUUUUCUCGUGACGAGCAUAUCGAUAUCUCAGUUACAUUCGGCUCUUAGUCUGUUCGAAUUUUUAGAUUCAUGUACUUCUCUGUAGAUGAUUAUCUAGAUAAGGUCCUGAACUGCAAAUACUUAACCGAACAGGAAUAGUUCUAAUCUACAGAAUUUGUAACAGAUCUAAUAAAAUACGGCAAUACUACAGAUAAUUUUGACAAUAAUAACUUGAAAAACUAAAACGCGGAGAUACAUUAGAACCUUGUAAUUAUUUUGUAGUUGGAACAGAUUUAUAUCAGUAAUAAUGGUAGUUACAUUGGCUAUAGUACAUGUAAUAUGAUAAAAACGAAACAAUAAUCUGUAAAAAUCUAUUGUAUUAUUUGAAUCAUAUUACUAUUAAUUUUGGAAACUCCGUAUUAACAAAAACGAAGCAACAAUGCUAUGAUAUAACAACCAGGUCAUAUACGUACAUAUUAUUUAUUUAUUUCUCUUCGUAGAAUCAUCUUCUUUCCUGUUAUGUUACGCUUUUCGUCCCAGUCUGUUUAAUUUUUAAUUGGUUCUGACUGUUUUAUAUAAAUAACAAACAAAUUUUUUCUAGUACAGUUUAUAAAGUAUGUUAAUGCACAAUGUGUACUUUUAACAACUACUCAAAAUAAAAGCAUAAGUAAGCUUUUAAUUAUUGUAACAGAUGUAAUACCAAAUAUCGUAGACAUAUGUAUUAUUUAUAAUUAAA
rnacentral:misc_RNA from 1 species